rnacentral:lncRNA from 1 species
UGCUGUGGGGGGAGGGGGUUGUUCAAGGGAUGGGGACGAUCAGGGUCUCUGGGAAGUGCUGACGUGUGCGCGUGUGCGGUGUGUUGCUUGUGGGUGCGUGUGUGGUGUGUGCAUGUGUGUGCGCGCGCGUGUGUGCGGGGUGUGCCGUGAGCGUGUGCCCGCGGUUCGGGGGAUGAGUAGGGGCGCUGACUUUUAGGACCAGCCAUUUGAGUCAAGCUGGAGACGACGUCUUAGAACCUAGGAUGAGUCUCGUUUGGUUUUAGUCUGCAAAGCUCGUCUGCAUCAGACAGGAAUUUUCCCCAGACGCGGGUGCACGUGAAUUAAUUCAUCAGAAGGCGGUUCACGGCCUGAGUGAGGGGGACGAGGGCGGCGAAUUCCUCCGCCUCAUUCCUACCCUGACGAUUCGAGCCUUAGCAAGUUCUGGCCUGUGGAGCCGUCAUCCAGAGCGCACAGCUUCAUGCCCUUGAAGGGCGCAGUGUGUCCCGUGGUGCCCGGUGGGCCCGGACAGAGACCCCAGAGGCUCUGUCUGAAGGAAGCUGCACCCACAGACUCCAUCCAGGCAGCGCGGGCGCGGUCCUGUCGCCUACCUUUCUCGGAAGCCAUCUGCCCAUGUGAAUCUAUGUGAAGGCCCUUCAUGCGCUCCUGGACAUCUGCGUGGGAUUUACUUCAACUGCUAUCGCUGCGAGGAGGACGAGCAUGUUUCACUGUAUUUUUAGCAGAGAGUGCAGAUUUUAGAACCUCGCGAACGGUCCUGUAUCUCCUGCACGAUGACUCUCCAGAACAGGAAUAGUGACCCUUCCUUUGCAUUUAUGGUGCAUAGGUUUUCAAAGGACAGUGUGUAAAUCAGCUUGUGUAAUAAUUGUGGCACCCACGCGCGCAAGCAGACUUACCAUGAGCUGACUUCCACUGAUUAUUUCAGUUUCCAGGGAAACGAGGUUUGCAGCCCCCUCCAGUGAGGGCGGAGCGGCCUCUCCAUUCCCAAUGCAGCAAGGCUGCUGCAGCCACGAUGAUUAGGCUUUGGAGGAGGAAGUGAACGGAUGGGGCCUCAUCCUCCUGCCUCCCUAAAGGGUGAGGGUGGAAGGAUGGGGCUGUGCCCUCUUAGGGCAGGGAAAAACAGCUUGGAGGGGUUUCUGCCAUCAGAGAUCCCAUAGGAGGCAGGUCAGUCCUGCAGAAUUUCUCCCCAGUCUGGCCUCCAGCCUCCCUGGCCCCUUUCUAGAGGCCUCCAUCCCACUGGCGGCUUGCUCCUGCCACCGGGCCUCUGCACAGUCACCUCCUGCAGCCUGGGGUGUGUCGCCUCUCCACGUCCUCACCGGCGUCUGCCUUUGCAUUUCCCAGAUGCUCGCUUCACCCCACUGAGAUGUAACUCAGUUUUGUGGGAUCCCACUGCCCUCCAGGUGCCGCUCCGAGUGCUCUACACAGAUUUUCAUUCAGUCCUUGCGGCACACGAAGAGUGGCUGUACCAUUUUGCAUUCCCAGACCGAAGUGUGAAAGCUCCAGAUGCCCCACGCCCUCACCAGCCCACGGUGUUGUCAGCCUUAAUAGUGCUGACCAUUCUGCCUGUUAAUAUGAUGAAUUACACUGAUUCAGUUUCAAAUGUCCAACCAAGCUUGCACUCCAGAGAUGAAGCCCACUUGAUCACAUGGAUUAUUCUUUUAAUAUAUGAUGGAUACGACUUGGCUGUUCUUUUGUUGAGGAUUUUUGUGUUUAUGUUAAUGAGGAUAUUAUUUGUAGUUUUCUUUUCUUGUAAUGUUUUUGUCUUUGUUCAGUGUCAGAGUAAUGCCAACUUCAUAAAGUGAGCUGGGAAGUA